rfam:Ixodes scapularis strain Wikel colony gcontig_1108379583446, whole genome shotgun sequence.
CCGCCCGUCCCUAUACUACCGUUUGAAUGUUUUAGUGAGGUCUUCAGACAGAUACCCGGAGAGGUCUUUUGGUUGCUCCUGUGUGUUGAAAAGAUGAUCGAACUUGAUAAUUUAGAGGAAGUAAAAGUCGUAACAAGGUUUCUGUAGGUGAACCUGGAGAAA